CUAUAAUGCAGUCGAGCGACAGAUAAGGAGCUUGCUCCUUUGACGUUAGCGGCGGACGGGUGAGUAACACGUGGAUAACCUACCUAUAAGACUGGGAUAACUUCGGGAAACCGGAGCUAAUACCGGAUAAUAUAUUGAACCGCAUGGUUCAAUAGUGAAAGGCGGCUUUGCUGUCACUUAUAGAUGGAUCCGCGCCGUAUUAGCUAGUUGGUAAGGUAACGGCUUACCAAGGCAACGAUACGUAGCCGACCUGAGAGGGUGAUCGGCCACACUGGAACUGAGACACGGUCCAGACUCCUACGGGAGGCAGCAGUAGGGAAUCUUCCGCAAUGGGCGAAAGCCUGACGGAGCAACGCCGCGUGAGUGAUGAAGGUCUUCGGAUCGUAAAACUCUGUUAUCAGGGAAGAACAAAUGUGUAAGUAACUGUGCACAUCUUGACGGUACCUGAUCAGAAAGCCACGGCUAACUACGUGCCAGCAGCC
rnacentral:rRNA from 1 species